GAUGGACGCUGGCGGCGUGCCUAAUACAUGCAAGUCGAGCGAACAGACGAGGAGCUUGCUCCUCUGACGUUAGCGGCGGACGGGUGAGUAACACGUGGAUAACCUACCUAUAAGACUGGGAUAACUUCGGGAAACCGGAGCUAAUACCGGAUAAUAUAUUGAACCGCAUGGUUCAAUAGUGAAAGACGGUUUUGAUGUCACUUAUAGAUGGAUCCGCGCCGCAUUAGCUAGUUGGUAAGGUAACGGCUUACCAAGGCAACGAUGCGUAGCCGACCUGAGAGGGUGAUCGGCCACACUGGAACUGAGACACGGUCCAGACUCCUACGGGAGGCAGCAGUAGGGAAUCUUCCGCAAUGGGCGAAAGCCUGACGGAGCAACGCCGCGUGAGUGAUGAAGGUCUUCGGAUCGUAAAACUCUGUUAUUAGGGAAGAACAAAUGUGUAAGUAACUAUGCACGUCUUGACGGUACCUAAUCAGAAAGCCACGGCUAACUACGUG
rnacentral:rRNA from 1 species